rnacentral:hammerhead_ribozyme from 1 species
AUCCAACUGACAAGUCCUAAAUAGGAUGAAAUGUACGUUUUGGAU